GACGAACGCUGGCGGCGUGCCUAAUACAUGCAAGUCGAGCGAAGUUUUUCUGGUGCUUGCACUAGAAAAACUUAGCGGCGAACGGGUGAGUAACACGUAAAGAACCUGCCUCAUAGACUGGGACAACUAUUGGAAACGAUAGCUAAUACCGGAUAACAGCAUUAACUGCAUGGUUGAUGUUUAAAAGUUGGUUUUGCUAACACUAUGAGAUGGCUUUGCGGUGCAUUAGCUAGUUGGUGGGGUAAAGGCCUACCAAGGCGACGAUGCAUAGCCGACCUGAGAGGGUGAUCGGCCACACUGGGACUGAGACACGGCCCAGACUCCUACGGGAGGCAGCAGUAGGGAAUCUUCCGCAAUGGGCGAAAGCCUGACGGAGCAACGCCGCGUGAGUGAAGAAGGAUUUCGGUUCGUAAAGCUCUGUUGUUAGGGAAGAAUGAUUGUGUAGUAAC
rnacentral:rRNA from 1 species